GGUUGCCAAACUGCGUGUGCAAGUAAUGGCGUCUGAAGCCAUUCUUACUCUCCUUAAAAGAAGCCUUAAUUAUAGAGUGGCAAAGGCCUGACAAAACACUUAUUCAUCUCCUUCAAAUGGGGUUCCACAUUUCCUCUUUGGGUCAUGAAGAAUGUUUUAUUGAAGUCACCACCAUCCACCAUUUUAAGCUCAGCAGAAGUCAGUUUUGUAUUACACCUGGAGAAGCAGACUUUUCAGAAGGUGAGUCCUUUUUGUUCUUCAGUUUCUCAAGCAGUACACAUCUUUAGACAAUUUCCUUGUCACUAUUUCAUCUUUGCAUGUUGUAGUACUUGCUAUGAGCUACUUGCCAUCUCUUAACUUUAUGCAGCCCUGGUAAAAAAAAUUGUUCUGUCAGACUCUAUUCUGAGUGCUGUGGAAGCCUUUUUUCAUA